AUCUUAAUAGUUUAAAAAAAAUUUUAAAUUGCAAAUUUAAAGAUAAUUUAAUAAAUUUUAAGAUU
rnacentral:tRNA from 1 species